rnacentral:rRNA from 1 species
GAUGAACGCUGGCGGCGUGCCUAAUACAUGCAAGUCGAGCGAACAGACGAGGAGCUUGCUCCUCUGACGUUAGCGGCGGACGGGUGAGUAACACGUGGAUAACCUACCUAUAAGACUGGGAUAACUUCGGGAAACCGGAGCUAAUACCGGAUAAUAUAUUGAACCGCAUGGUUCAAUAGUGAAAGACGGUUUUGCUGUCACUUAUAGAUGGAUCCGCGCCGCAUUAGCUAGUUGGUAAGGUAACGGCUUACCAAGGCAACGAUGCGUAGCCGACCUGAGAGGGUGAUCGGCCACACUAGAACUGAGACACGGUCCAGACUCCUACGGGAGGCAGCAGUAGGGAAUCUUCCGCAAUGGGCGAAAGCCUGACGGAGCAACGCCGCGUGAGUGAUGAAGGUCUUCGGAUCGUAAAACUCUGUUAUUAGGGAAGAACAAAUGUGUAAAUAACUAUGCACGUCUUGACGGUACCUAAUCAGAAAGCCACGGCUAACUACGUG